rnacentral:rRNA from 1 species
GACGAACGCUGGCGGCGUGCUUAACACAUGCAAGUCGAACGGAGAUUAUUAAUGAAGCUUGCGAUUUAAUAAUCCUAGUGGCGGACGGGUGAGUAACGCGUGGGCAACCUACCCAUAAGCGGGGGAUAACAGUUGGAAACGACUGCUAAUACCGCAUAAGCUAUAGAGGUCGCAUGACCUAAAUAGUAAAGGUGGCAUUUAAAGAUGCUAUCACUUAUGGAUGGGCCCGCGUCUGAUUAGCUAGUUGGUGGGGUAGUGGCCUACCAAGGCAACGAUCAGUAGCCGGCCUGAGAGGGUGGACGGCCACACUGGGACUGAGACACGGCCCAGACUCCUACGGGAGGCAGCAGUGGGGAAUAUUGCGCAAUGGGGGAAACCCUGACGCAGCGACGCCGCGUGAGCGAAGAAGGCCUUAGGGUCGUAAAGCUCUGUUGUAAGGGGACGAAUGUUUAUCUGACGAACAGUCAGAUAAAGUGACGGUACCUUACCAGCAAGCCCCGGCUAA